GGCCCGGAUGCGAGUUGUUGCAGCGUUGCGGAGUAAUCUCUGAGUAAGGAGAGAGGACUGAAGAAUUGUUUGACUCCAAACCAGGAAGCUGAAGGAUUUAUGAACCAGGUACUGGUGCGUGGAAGAGAAUGCAAACACAGAUCCGUACUCACGUGACAGCUGCCAUCCUCCUGACUGCCUCCCAAGGCACUGCGCAUGCCCACUGUUCCAGCACUUUAUCCACAGCGUCAGUGCCGAUGGAUGGUAACUCGCUUAAGAGCGUUGCCCUGAGGCACUCGUAAUUCCCUGAGAGUCUGCGCUCUCCAAUAGAACCCCAGGAGGAAAACACCAUAGUCCAGUUUCCCACAUUUGGAGAAGUCGCAGAGGCCAGCAUAUCUGGAGUGCGAUAGAUGAGCCUUGCCCUGGGGCAACCACCUUCAUGACCAUGUUUCAGGUUUCUUGCAGUCACUACUAUAUGCUACAGGAAGGGUUAGUCAACCGGAGCCUGCAGGCCAAGUCAGCCAGCUGUCUGCUAUUGUAUGACCCGCUUACAUAGAUGCAGAGACACUGAAGCCAGACGGUAUCACGGCCCUUUCACUAAUUAGCUCUGUAAAACCUUGGAAUAACACGACCUUUCUCUGACUCAAUUUCUUCAUCUGUAAAAUAAUUUUAACUUAGAACCCUGUCUGUCGUGCAGUAAACAUUCAAUAAAUGUUAGCUGUGCUUGUAUGAAGUAAUGAAAAUCAUUUUAAAACAAUAUAAAUCACAGGAUACACCUGUUAGCUUUGAGAAAAAAUAUUUUUUUAGGCAUGACCUUUAAAUUUUUAAUUAAAAAUUAUUUUUUUAACUACCCUGACAGGUAAAAUUAUUUGUGACACAAGAAAUUCUGAUAAAACUGAGCUUAAGAACUGGGGAAAUACAGUAUUUAAAUCCAUUUAUCACCAAGAGGUACAAGCACGUUCUUAGAACUGAGGGGACUAUAAUCAUUUAUAAGCAAAUGCCACAAGCUUACCACCCUAAAGGUCUUCCGACCUGUGAGACUCAGAGGACAGCCUUCAGAGCAGAGCCUAAUGAAGCUUGCCCUUCUGUUUGGUACAUUAACUCAAGCACAUGACUACCUGCUGGAACGCUGAGUCUCCGACAAUCUCUGGCACAUGCACACCAGCCUUCCCAUUGCUUUGCAUCCUCCGCUAUAUAUUAAACAGACUCAGGAGUUAAACAAGAGAAUCCUCAUCUCAGGCCACACCCGCUCCAUUUUAAUUAAGUUCUUCAGAUGAGAC